GCUGAAAAGCUAGCUGAUAGCUGAAAAGCUAGCUUAUUGAAAUUAAAGUGUUUGGUAAAAUUAGCUUUUAAAGUGGUUAUUAAAUAUAAAAUUACAUAAUUGAUAGUGGGUAGUUUAUUUUUUAGAGUGGGUAGUUAUUAAAUUAAAGGGUAAAAAUGGAAUAAAGUGUAAAAAGCUAUAAGCUAUAAGCUCAAAUGCUACUUGAAAU
rnacentral:lncRNA from 1 species